GGGCUCGUAGCUCAGCUUGGUAGAUCGCCACCUUCGCAAGGUGGAGGCCCAGGGUUCAAAUCCCUGUGGGUCCA
rnacentral:tRNA from 1 species